GUUUUUGAGUGUUGGAAAAACUAAGGUAAAAGAAAUCAAUUUGAUUGAGAAUGUGCUAAUUUCCUUUUCUCUUAUUUUGUUAUGUUUGGUGUUUGUUUUAUGAACCAAUUUCAAUCUCUCAAAUUUAUAUUCUUCAACUUCAGUUCUUGCAUGUAGGAAAUUCUCAAUAGAUUCAAGCUUUUGGGUGUUGGAAAAACUAAGGUUAUCAAAGCUUAUAUGCUAAAGAUUUUGAACAACUUCAAUUGUACCAUAGUCUUUUGGAUCAUCACAAUUUGAUUGAAUUGGCCAUUUAAAGGAGAAAAAUGGAGCAUGCUUGGUGUGAAUAUAAUUGGGUGGUGGUGCAUAUCAAUCCAAUACAACAUGUCAUAUUAGUUUUUUCAGCUUUGUAUAAUAAAUAGUGAUAACACCCAACACUUGAAAUAAUGAGCAAAAUUAUAAAUCUUAAUAUAAGGUUUAUAAUCUUGGAAAAAUUGUCAACUACAUUGAUAUUUGUCCAUUAUAUGGUGGUUCACUUUUAUAUUUAAUAUGAUUUGGUUUU